rnacentral:rRNA from 1 species
AGCGAACGCUGGCGGCAGGCCUAACACAUGCAAGUCGAACGGAUCCUUCGGGAUUAGUGGCGGACGGGUGAGUAACACGUGGGAACGUGCCCUUUGGUUCGGAACAACUCAGGGAAACUUGAGCUAAUACCGGAUGUGCCCUUCGGGGGAAAGAUUUAUCGCCAUUGGAGCGGCCCGCGUCUGAUUAGCUAGUUGGUGAGGUAAAGGCUCACCAAGGCGACGAUCAGUAGCUGGUCUGAGAGGAUGAUCAGCCACAUUGGGACUGAGACACGGCCCAAACUCCUACGGGAGGCAGCAGUGGGGAAUCUUGCGCAAUGGGCGAAAGCCUGACGCAGCCAUGCCGCGUGAAUGAUGAAGGUCUUAGGAUUGUAAAAUUCUUUCACCGGGGACGAUAAUGACGGUACCCGGAGAAGAAGGCCCGGCUAACUUCGUGCCAGCAGCAGCCGCCGUAA